UACAGAGGGGGCAAGCGUUGUUCGGAAUUACUGGGCGUAAAGGGCGCGUAGGCGGCCUUCUAAGUCGAACGUGAAAUCCCUGGGCUCAACCCAGGAACUGCGUCCGAUACUGGAAGGCUUGAAUCCGGGAGAGGGAUGCGGAAUUCCAGGUGUAGCGGUGAAAUGCGUAGAUAUCGGGAGGAACACCUGUGGCGAAAGCGGCGCACUGGACCACAUCUGACGCUGAGGCGCGAAAGCUAGGGGAGCAAACAGG
rnacentral:rRNA from 1 species